rnacentral:rRNA from 1 species
GGAGGAAUAUUGCACAACGGGGGGAACCCAGGUGCAGCAACGCCGCGUGAGUGAAGAAGGCCUUCGGGUCGUAAAACUCUUUUCUGAGGGAUGAGGAAGGACAGUACCUCAGGAACAAGUCUCGGCUAACUACGUGCCAGCAGCCGCGGUCAGACGCAGGAGGCGAGCGUUAUCCGGAUUUACUGGGCGUAAAGGGCAAGUAGGCGGUGGUGCAAGUCAGUUGUGACAGAUCCCGGCUCAACUGGGAAAGGACGGUUGAGACUGCAUAAGUAGAGGGCAGGAGAGGGGAGCGGAAUUCCUUGUGUAGCGGUGGAAUGCUCAGAUACAAGGAGGAACAGCAGUGGCGAAGGCGGCUCUCUGGCCUGCACCUGACGCUGAAGAGCGAAAGCUAGGGGAGCGAACGG